CUCCCUCCCGCACUCGCGCCUCCCCCGCGGCCAUCUCCUCCCGCCUCGCCUCUCUCUCUCCCUCUCCCUCUCUCUCUCCUUGCGCUCCCUGCCGCGCCGCCGCCUCCGCUCACCUCGCCAUCGCUGGCACCUACCCGAGGCGUGGGUUCGCAGUCCUGCCCCCUCCCUUCCUCCUCUCCCGGUUCGUUCUCCCUCCCGUCCCAAGCCAGCCGCCGCCCCCACCCUAUUGCCGAUCUCCUCUCCCCCAACCUCGGUGCCGCCUCCUCCCUCUCUCCCAUAGGCGCCCGCCGCUGCCGUUUCACCUUCUCGAGAAGGUCAGGUGGAGGCCAGAUCCGCCAUGCCCACAGCGUUGCUUCCGCUGACACGCUCCUGUGCCGUUCCCAAGCCCGAUACAAAGGAGAUGCACGACCAUCCCCUCCCCGUGCGGUGGUGGACGCAGGAGGUGCACGUCUCCGUCGAGGUCGUCGCGAUUGGGUGAGAACCCUAGCUGAUGCUCUGACCCUCACAACCCUCGCUUCGCCCCCUCCUUUCUCUUUCGCCUCUGGAUCCGGCCGCCGCCACUGUCUCUCUGCCUUGCCCCGCCGUCCUGUUCCUGGUGAGACGAGGUCCUUCCUUUCUAUUGCUCACAUCAGUCAUCCAGUUCUAGGCAGUGGAUGAAUCACUGAGAUUGGGAGCAGAGGCAAGGAUGUUGCCUCGCCCCUGCUUCUGACCUGGACUGGAUCUCGUUGGUUCUUGCUCAACCUGCCAAAGGUCUGUAUGUUUAAGAAUGACUCCACUCAUGGCCCCUUUAAAGGAUCCAUUAAGAUCAUGGAUGAUUCAAUUCUAGAGAUUAAUGUGGAGAAAAUAACAAUCAAAUGCAAAAGAUGAGUAUGCAUCCUAAGGGGCAAAGAUGCAGUCCUCCAGAGCGGUUGGAAAGAAGAAGAAGAUGUGUUGUUUGAUGUGUUCGUGCUUGUCGGCGGGACGGUGCAAGGCGCAACUCCGAUGCGGUUCCUCGCCGGUUGGACGGCGUUCAGGCGCAACCCCGACAUGCACUGAGUAUUGCCUCAGCUACAGCCUCCCUCGGUGAGGUCCAUCUUCCUCCCGCUCCUCUGCUUCGGCUACUUUAUGGGACAUGUCCAUGGCUAUAUUGAUGUGGUGCUCGUCUGAUUGAUGCUCUAUGCCCUACUCAUGCAUCGGCUCCUGUAGUUGUGGAUCCAUGCCAUUUUAGGGUUUGCGGGAUGUUGUUCAUGUUUAGUUGCUAUCAUAGGAGCUAAUGUGAUGCUCUGGUUUACAUAUGGAUGCCCUGGUCCUAUAGCUAUUCUCCUGGAUUUGCUAGAUUGAUCAGUGGCGUUCGUGCUAGGGCGAUGAUGAUUAAUCGUGGCUGAAAUAAGUGUGCCUUUGAGCAAUCGUGGCACCUGUGCGUAUCAGGUUGGAUCCUCCCUCUUGUCUCUAGAAUCCUUUUUGAUCCUGUGAUACUUGUUGUUGUCCUUUGAUGGUCAUUCUUGUUGAGCGAUAACCAGGGCAGCUCCACUGUAUGAACAGAUUGAUCUGGUGAUAAGAGAUGAUGGGGGUAGGUUAUAUGAUCGAGGAAAGGUGAAUCUGAGCCCGCUAUGCAAUGAACCCUGAAUCGAGAAUCCCAUCCCAUCCCCUUGUUAGAGUCUGAAGAAAAAUGGAGCUUCUGGACCGUUCGAUCGGUUUCCUGAUGCGAUUCCGGCCGUCGGAUCUCGGGCUUGACUCACGUGAGGCGUCGGAUAUUUUCCAAAUCGCUGUGAGCCGUCGGAUAAAAUUCCAAUGGCAAUAGAAUGUAAAUACCGUGCCCCCACCAGGGCAUCUGGGUCAUUUCGCUUAGGGGCGCAGGGGUAUAAAAUGACUGCGGCUUCCUGCGAUGAAAACCUAGCUGCCGCCUCCUCUCUCUCACUCGCCCCUGUAGCUGCCUCCCUCCCUCCCACGCAGGUGGUUCCCAUGGCGAUGGCGGCAGCGGCCACGGAGGAGGGCGGCAUAUCAGCGGCGCCGGCGAUGGCGUCCGUGGCGGCCAUGCAAUGAGCCCUGAACCAUUUUUUAUUUGUAUUUAAAGGUGUUGCUUAUUUAUGCUCAACCUUAUUCGUGCUAGGGCGAUGAUGAUUACCUUGGCUGGAAUUAGUAUGCCUUUGAGCAAUCGAGGCACCAAUGGGUAUCAAGUUGGAUCCUCCCUCUUGUCUCUAGAAUCCUUUUUGAUCCUGUGAUACUUGUCGUUGUCCUUGGAUGGUCAUUCUUGUUGAGUGAUAACCAGGGCAGCUCUACUGUAUAAACAGAUCGAUCUGGUGAUAAGAGAUGAUGGGGGUAGGUUAUAUGAUCGAGGAAAGGAAAAUCUGAGCCCACUAUGUAAUAAAACUGCAGCUACCUCCCCUAAUAUGUGUAAUAUUGAAGGCAAAAAAGAACUUUUCAUUCUUGCUACUUUAAAAUUCCAAAAGGUUCAUUCUUCCUUUGCUGGUUACUUAACCAUGUUUUUUGUUUUGCUUUGGUUCUGGUUGAGAUACUAAAGGUUGUUUAUAUAUGAAAAGAACGGACACUUAUAGUUUUGUAUGCCUCAACUGUAGCUUAGGAUCCAGUGUUGUAGUGUCUUCGAUCAGUAUGUUCAUAUUGAGAUGUAGGGAUGCAUCAGGCACGUCAACUUUCUUGGAUUGGCGGUUGCGCAAUACUGAUACUAUGUAUAACUUCACAACAUUGCGAACUAAUGGCCAUGUUAUAGUGCUUUUAUGUUCACUCCUGAUCCUGUCACUAUCACAGGUGUGGUACACACAUAAAGUGGAAUCGAGCGUGACCCGCUGAAAUUGUCAUGAUGCUGCAUUCUUACAAAAAAAAACUAAUUAGAGUGUCCUGUUGCGCUAGAUGCUUGAUGUUUUCCUUUAAUCGGAAAGUCGUUCUAGGUAAUUGACCCUUCUCCUUAAAACAUACUUUGAAGAUUUUGAAUGACAUUUUAUUAGAGUAGUUUCCAAAUGCUACCUUACCUAUUUUCCUUUUUUGUUGUUUCUACUAGGUUUAAACUAAAAGGAGAAAUAGCUAUAAAAAUUGUCCUUUAUAUUCUUUGUCAGGCCUUGUGCUCGGUCAAAUCUGAGUUAUGGUAGUUGCUAUAAAUGUCUAGGUUUCAGCUUAAUAUUUGCAUUACAUGCCCGGAGAACUAAUGUUAUGCUUGUACUAAAUUGGAAAAUAGCUGGCUACAUUCGUGUGAUGUUUUAUGAAUUUAUUUUUUAAUAAUUCAUGUGUUGUUUCAUUCCUUGGAAUUUUCCCCUGAUUUAUUACUCCUGAAGAUGGUUCCAUUUGAAUGCGUGAAAUUACAAGAGCUCAAGAUUGUAGUUUUAGUCAUAGGUCAACCAGGGCACUAUUUCUAAUGAAGGUCAUGUUUCUAUAUGGUUUUUACUGUUUGGUGGUACAUUUAGAUAGUUAGCAUCGUCCGUUGACUAUGUGUUUUGUACCCUGUUGUUCCAGGGUGAGAUUUCCUGUGAUUUUGUGGAAGUAGAUGAUUGAUAGAGACUCGGAGGAGGUAAUUGAUAGAUAUAGACGUCGUGGUUCCUAUUUCUUCAUGUACUAUUUUUCUUCCAGUUUUCUUUUAAUUACAAGCUACCUCUGCCAUUGUAGUCAUUUCUUAUUUCAUACCAGUCUCUGUUGACUACUAUGUAACCAUGCAUGGGUAGCUUAAAUGGCAUAAGUUCUUAUUCAGUUAGAAAAAGGCAACAAAAACAACCAGGGUAAUCUUGCUCUAGAAAUUGCAUGACAUGUGCUUAUUCUCAUUUGUACAUAUGUGCGAGUUGAGUUCAAGAAAUUCUUGCAAAUGCAUUUUUUGGAUAACAGUCGUCAGCACAUAACCAUUUACUGAUUUAUAUUAAACCCUAUGGAAGCCAAGAUAGGUUUAGGUUCAUGUCUAAUAUAUCUCAUUUCACGGAAUAUAAAUUUACUUGGAAGCUAUAUCCUCCCAUGGUCCAUUGUUUUAUGCAUUGUUCAUGUUAACUUGGCUAAAAAGUGUUCAGGGAAGCUUUGAGUUUUGGUUGUUUCAAAAUAAACACAUCAAAGAAGAUGUUAUAUACCUUUUGCCAUUUAGCGGUGCUUAGGGAGUGAACAAGAUCCACUCUAAAAAGCUCCGGCAUCUGUCAACAAAGUUACCAGUGCAAAGCAGAUGGAAAAGAAUAAGGCAUCGAAGAAUGUUGUGCAUGUGCCUCUGCUUCCUCCUGCUACUAAUGAGGUCACGGAUCCAGUUGUUGAUCCUAAAACACAGGAUGUUGAUGGGGUUACUUUAAGGGGUGUUGAUGCAGAGGAGGGAGGCGAGGAUCCCAGUGCCAGAAAAAGGCAUAAGCUCUAGAGCAGCUGACGCCGAUUGAUCCACUCUUUUGGUCCAUGACGGUUGGCUAUGGACGUAUGACGAUACCUGGAUUUGCUGAUAUCCGUGGUGCUUCAUUACGUGCUCAACGAUGAAGCCCCUUCGUCGUACGGACCUGUCUACAUGAAGACCUGUCACUUAGUAUACAAUCUGCUGCUUUAUUUCCUUUAGGGGGUAUGUGCCGCAGGUACUUUUAAAUUUGAACAAAACCUACCUUAUUAUUACCUGUUUGCUUGAAUGUGUGUCGCCGACAAUGUAGUGGAGUAUGAGCAGACGCAAACUUCUGGUGCUUAUGGCUGUUGUUGGCAAAUGACUUAAAUAUGUCUAUGUGUGCCUGUUGUCCAUUUCUUUAA